GUGCUUAACACAUGCAAGUCGAACGAUGAUCCCAGCUUGCUGGGGGAUUAGUGGCGAACGGGUGAGUAACACGUGAGUAACCUGCCCUUAACUCUGGGAUAAGCCUGGGAAACUGGGUCUAAUACCGGAUAUGACUCCUCAUCGCAUGGUGGGGGGUGGAAAGCUUUAUUGUGGUUUUGGAUGGACUCGCGGCCUAUCAGCUUGUUGGUGAGGUAAUGGCUCACCAAGGCGACGACGGGUAGCCGGCCUGAGAGGGUGACCGGCCACACUGGGACUGAGACACGGCCCAGACUCCUACGGGAGGCAGCAGUGGGGAAUAUUGCACAAUGGGCGAAAGCCUGAUGCAGCGACGCCGCGUGAGGGAUGACGGCCUUCGGGUUGUAAACCUCUUUCAGUAGGGAAGAAGCGAAAGUGACGGUACCUGCAGAAGAAGCGCCGGCUAACUACGUGCCAGCAGCCGCGGUAAUACGUAGGGCGCAAGCGUUAUCCGGAAUUAUUGGGCGUAAAGAGCUCGUAGGCGGUUUGUCGCGUCUGCCGUGAAAGUCCGGGGCUCAACUCCGGAUCUGCGGUGGGUACGGGCAGACUAGAGUGAUGUAGGGGAGACUGGAAUUCCUGGUGUAGCGGUGAAAUGCGCAGAUAUCAGGAGGAACACCGAUGGCGAAGGCAGGUCUCUGGGCAUUAACUGACGCUGAGGAGCGAAAGCAUGGGGAGCGAACAGGAUUAGAUACCCUGGUAGUCCAUGCCGUAAACGUUGGGCACUAGGUGUGGGGGACAUUCCACGUUUUCCGCGCCGUAGCUAACGCAUUAAGUGCCCCGCCUGGGGAGUACGGCCGCAAG
rnacentral:rRNA from 1 species